CACAACAGCAGGGGGGUAUACACAACAGCGGGGGGUAUACACAACAGCAGCGGGGUAUACACAACAUAUUACCUAUUUAACACCUGGUUUUCUGUCUCUAAUUCUUCUUUCUUUGCCUCCAAGACUUCCACUUUCUCCUGCAGUCUCUUCAAUUUAUUCUCAUGAAGAGAUUUUCUCUAAAAGCAACAAAAAAGAUUAGUUUGAAAAAAUAAGCUGAUAUAUAAUUUCCUAUUUGAAAAAGACUAUGGUGGAUACUUAAGGUUUUUCUUUUUUAAUUUGGAGAUUAAUAUUUUCAGUAAAUACCAGGGAUAGAGUUAGUAUAUGGCUUGUACUGGAACUACAAAGACAAGAAACUCAGAUCUACCUGCAUCCUCAGUGUAACAGUGUCCUUAUGAAUGCCUGCCAGAAGACUGGCACCAACAGCCAAUUCAUUGCAGCAGGCUAAAGAAAACAGAGGCAGACCUGACUGAGUAGGCCUGCCAUGUGCACAGUCUGGUGGAUCAGUUAGAGAACCUGGGACACAACUUAAAAUUAAGAGCCUUUUGCACUGAUAAACUGCACCAAAGCACAAAGGGAAAGGAUGGGCGUGCUAAGAUAAAGCACAAGCCAGUCUCUUAGUUUAAACGUAUGUCUUUCUAAAUGCUAAGAGAAAAAUAAAUUUAACUUUAUAAUACAUAAAAGAAAACUUUGUAAAUGUGAACACUGAUAUUUUUAAUUAAUGGGAACAUCAAAAUAUACAAACGAACUACAUGAACUUUUCAUGCAUUUCAUGCAUUUUUUUCAGUUUUUAUAAGCAAGUUUCAAAAAUACAAAGAUACCCAUCAUGCUGAAACUGAUUAGCGGCCGCAGAUCCCUUAAAUAGUUCCUGUUUAUUGAAGCACAACAAGCUUAUAAAGGUAAAUGCAGAGCUCAAUGAAAAUGCACAAAGCAAACAUGGGUCAGGAGCACUGCCAGGACAGGGUCCAUGGCUCUCCCCCUCGCCGUGACCCCUCCAUCAUCUGAAAAGGUAAACAAUGAAUUUAUUUCCAAAGCCAAGGUUCUGCCAGCAUUUGAAUUUCAUUUAAUGAAUUGAAAGAUCUUUUGCAGAUGACGUUUUCUUUUACUAAACAUGCUUACGAGUUAUGUUAUUUCCUCAUUCACGGCCACAUGCUGUUCUUCCCUUCUGACUACUACAUGUACUGCACUCACCUAGUCCACUGCUAAGGGUCACAUAGGUACUUCUACUUGGGACAGAACUAGAGGUGUCCAGAGGAACACCACUGUGGGCACGACUUAGCCUUUAACAUCAAAUGGCCUCCCCAAUGGCCUGCUGGUGCUCCUCCUGGGAUAUGCGCCCUGGCUAAGUUUCCACUCUUCUGCCUUAAUGACUAUACUCACUGACAUGUGACCUGAGAGCAUGGAGUCCACUCACCCAUCAAUUUCAUCAGAGAAAAGAAACUAUAGAGUGUACAGCCUUUGCAACACUUUUCUCUAAGCAACUUAUCUGUGCAUAGAAGCAAUGCUAUUGAACAUUACAGUGACAAUUUUCCAUUGCUAUACUGUCAUCCAGUGUACAAAUGUACCAUAUUUUAACUUAUUUUCCUAUUGAUAAAAAUUUCAAUUCUUUCCAGUUUGGAAUUCCAGUAUUAGCAAACUUUUUUGAACAUACUUUUCGUAAAUAUACAUACUCAUUCUCCAUAAAUAUUUGACCUGGAGUAUUCAUAUUUUGGCCUUAGUAUAUUUUACUACAUUUUAGAAAUGAUACCAAUUACACAACCACCAGUCUGACAUUAGAAUUCAGGCUGGUCUACAUCCUUGCCAACAUUCAUUAUAGUCAGUCACUUACGUUUUAGCCAUUCUAGUGAAAUAUAUAGAAUUGUAAACAUUAGUAAAUUUUCCCAAUAUGUAUCUAAAGAUGUUAAAUAUCCUAUCAGUCAUCUGUAUUUUUUUAGGGAUGUUGUAUGUACACAUGUGUGUGCUUGGUCUAGUUUUACUCAAUAAAAAAAUUUUUUUUUUGAGUAAUCUGAUUCUUAUGGAUAGGAAAGAGUUCUUUAAAUAUCCAGGUUAUGAACCCUUUUAUAGCUUAUAUAUUACAGAUUCAAGUCUGUUGGGGAAUUUUCUUUUCAUUUUUAAAAUUUUUAUUUACUUUAAUGUGUAUGUGUACUUUGACUGCAUGUAUAUUUGUGCACCAUGUAUAUGACUGAUGCGCUGACCGAAGCCAGAAAAGGGUGUGACAUUCUUAUGACUGUCAUGUGGGUGCUGGGAAUGGAACCUAAGCCCUCUCUGGAAAAGUGCCUAGUAUUCUUUUAACAACAGAGUAAACUCUCUCCAGACCCUAUCAUGGAAUUUACUCUUUAAAAUAAACAAGCAAACAAAUUUACACACACACACACACACACACACACACACACACACACACACACACACUCUUUCAAGAAAAAGUUAUUUAUUUUUAGGAAACUUUACUGUUAUUUUCCAACUGUCAAAGAUAUCUUGUACAGUCAGGACUGCUUAUGCCCUAUCUAAGACACAUUUCUCUCUGCAGCCUCCGGUCAUUUCUCCCAAGCUCUCUGUCUGCUUACUUGUUUGUUUAGAUACUGACUAGGUCUGCUCCCCUCUGACUGUGCAUGUAUGUGUGAGUCCUUUUUCCAUGCCUGCACUGCUGCGGGGAGGAGCACUGACUGAUAGGGAACCCCUGCAGGUCCUUCUCUACUGAGAUGCAGCUGGGGACGCCUCUGUGGCAAGCUCUGGCUGGCUUCAUUCUUCAAGACUGGUUAUUCUACUCCUCCAAAACGUCCAAGAUCUGGUAAAGUCUGAUGAGGACCUACUUCUGCACAGAUGGUACCUUCUCCCUGGAUAAGGUAAAAACACAAAGGCAGCAUUUUGUGGCCUCUUUAAUGAGGGCAUUGAGCCCAAUCACUGAGGCGCAAUCAUUGUGACACAGCUAUUCCCCCAAAUACACUUUGUAAUGUAAUUACCUAGUGAAUCAUGAUUUCAUCAUCUAUUUAUCAGGGCAUCUCCAUCUCACAGCAACCACUCUGUUUCAGCUUUCUCAAUUCUGGGAUUUAAGGGGUGCAAAACCAAGCCUAGCUUAAUGUAUAAAUCUGGCUGGAGGGACAACAAACAUUCAAAUAAUCAUAGCCUAUGGGUACAUCUGAUUCACGUGUUGCUAAGCCUACAUUAACAAAGGUACUAUUUCAGUUAUUUUAAGACACCUAACUGCUGUAUAAUUAUGUAAAUAUACAAUCUUAAAAUCUAGCUGCAUUUCUCUGUUUACUAGUAAUUUCAAUUAUAAUAUAGGAAUUUCCCUUAUUAAUCUUUUCCAAGACUUAGUCUUAUUACUUUAACUAGAUGCUUAUGUGUUUCUAUGGGUGUGUACACCUGAGUGCACUGCUUGCUGACGCCAGAGGCAUCGGAUCCCCUGAAAUUGCAGCAAGUGGUGUCUGUGAACCACCAGACGAUGUGGAACCUGCAAAAUGAACUCAGUUCCUCCAGAAGACCAGGAGCAUGACAAGCCAGCAAGUCUCUGCAGUCCUCGUCAGCAAACAUUAAUUGAGCAUGCCUAGUAAACAUAUGCAUACAUAUUUAUAUGUGCACAGACCGUGUAUAAUGUGUCCUAUACUUACUAUAGAUAGUACAAAGACUAAGAGAUCUAUAAAAUUCUGAGAAGAACUACUCUGGGAAAUGUAAAAAAGCAAGCAAACAAACAAAACUAGGGCUCAUUCUUCUGUACUUUGUGGGGACGUAGAUUCACCUGAAGGUUCUCCAGCAGGAAUUUGAGUAAAAAGCACUGGCUGUAAAACAGUAACAGCAUAAGGGAUACUACGGACUUCCUCAAGAUAAGAGUUCAUGUUCAGUAGUGUCUCCAUCCACCAUUUAAAAGAGCAAACAACUAUUCUAAGCACAAGUUAGCACAUAAUUAAAGAGGGCCUUCUCUUUUCCCCUAUGUGAGAACCAGAAAGUGGGCCCUCACUGGGCACACUCUACUCAUGCACAGGUUCCUCACCAAUGAAGAACACAUCUCUGUUGGCAUGAACUUUGCAUUUAUGAUGCUCUGCUGUAGCAUGCUGAAGAGAUUAAGGAACUGUCCCAUCCCCCUCUAACUUGAAUCUCAUGGUUCAUCUGCCUACAACUGUUCCCUUUAUCAUUUUUCUCUGUGCUUUUGAAAUAUCCUACAAUCUCUUCCUUCAUAAAAAAAGUACCCACAUCCCUCCCUGGCUACCAUUUCUCUGCUUGUUUUCACUACUGAACUCCUCAGACAACCAAAUGCUAUCUCAUCAUCAUGCCUAUCUAGGUAAUGAUCCAAAGUGAUCCUGUGAGGCAUUUCUUUACCCGCCCCAAACAUGUCUUUGGGUUCCUCUCCCAUACUGGCCACUACCUGUUUCCUCCUCUUCAAUUCUAAACUUCAGAAUUCCUUAAAGUUCAAUUCUCAGACCUAUUCUAAUUGAAUUUUACUGCUUUAAAUGCCAUUUAAAUGCCAAUGAGCCCCAGCUUUUAAUUUAUCAAACCCAGCCUACUCUCUUCUAGUCAAUUAGAUUCAUGAAGCCAACUAAUUUAUCAUCUCCAUGUAGAAAGAGGAUGGAUAUGCAUGUGUAUUUCUAAGUGUCUUGUCACUAUAACAAGAUAUCUGUGGGAAGUAGCUUACAAAGUUUUAGAAGUUCCAGCCUAAGGUCAGGUAUCGACACUGCUUUAGUAUAUCAUGGUAGGAAUUUAACAGAAGAAAUCACUUACAAAGGAACCAAGGAAACUAAGUGAAGCAGAGAGGCUGGGGUCCCAUAUUCCUUCCUUUCAAGUGCAUGUUUUCAGGGACCUUCCAUUAUUUCCUAAGAGACAUAGUAACUUUGACUUUCGCUGCUUGAAGAACAAGCCUUUAACCCACUAAUUGCUGACAAUACUGUAUGAACAGCAGCCUUCAAUGAGUCAACAUGUUCAUGGGUGGAAAGAUGUUUCUGCCAUUAACACUGGCUGUUCUUCUAGAAGAUGAAGGUUUAAGUCCCAGCAUCCACACGGUGGCUCAAAACAACCUGGUUAAAUAUAGUUCCAGGCAAUCUGAUGCCUACCUUCUGGCCUCUAUGGACACUGUGUGCAUGUGGUGCAUGAACAUGACUAUAGACAAAACAUCUAUAUACAUAAAAUAGUUAAAUGCUUUAGAAAAAAACAGGUUUUUAAAAGUUGGCGUGUUCAAAAACACAUGGUUGUUUUACCCCCGCCCAAACCCAUCCAUUUCAGUCUUUCUCAUGUUAGUAAACACUAACUCUGUUUUACCAAAGGCUCGGUUUAAAAUCUGUAUCCUCAGCUGGGCAGUGGUGGUGCAUGCCUUUAAUCCCAAAACUUGGAAGGUAGAGGCAGGAGGACCUCUGUGAGUUCAAAACCAGCCUGGACAAAACAAGUUCCAGGACAGACAGAGCUGUUAUUCAAAAAAACCCUGCGUUUUUGUUUUUGUUUUUUUUUUGGGGAGGUGAGGGGUGUCAUCUUCUUGGAGUUUUCUGUCAUUCACACUGUAAAACCAUUUCAAAGAUUUGCCUUUAACAAAUACACAAAAUGUGACCACUGAGACUCCUUCAUUAGCUCUCUAUCCUAAGACAUCAUUAUCACUAACUUGGACUACUUCAAAGCUGUCUCCCUGAGUGGUUUUUGUUUUUUGCUUUUUUAAACUGUUGUUGGUUUUGCUUUUCUAUACAACAUUUUCAGAGAUUCUUCUAAAAUAUAGUUCAGAUCCUAUCAGUCCUCAAUUCAGAAGUCUUCAAUGCAGUCUAUUUCACUCAGAAGAGAAGCCAAAAUCCCUGUAUCAUGAGCCUGGUGCUGUCUCCCUAUCCUAGACCCCAGUACCUCCUCCUGUUCUUUCAACACACAAGCCAUCUGUGUGCCUCUGUGCUUGCUAUUCUGUCGAGAACAAGAUCUUCUAUGUAGAUCAACCUAGUGUCUUCUGGCCCUUCCUACAUCCUGCUCAAAUGUUUCCAAAUAAGCCUUGUAGUAAAGGGCAAAAUACUCACUCCCU